rnacentral:rRNA from 1 species
AGCGAACGCUGGCGGCAGGCUUAACACAUGCAAGUCGAGCGGGCGUAGCAAUACGUCAGCGGCAGACGGGUGAGUAACGCGUGGGAACAUACCUUUUGGUUCGGAACAACACAGGGAAACUUGUGCUAAUACCGGAUAAGCCCUUACGGGGAAAGAUUUAUCGCCGAAAGAUUGGCCCGCGUCUGAUUAGCUAGUUGGUGAGGUAACGGCUCACCAAGGCGACGAUCAGUAGCUGGCUGAGAGGAUGAUCAGCCACAUUGGGACUGAGACACGGCCCAAACUCCUACGGGAGGCAGCAGUGGGGAAUAUUGGACAAUGGGCGCAAGCCUGAUCCAGCCAUGCCGCGUGAGUGAUGAAGGCCCUAGGGUUGUAAAGCUCUUUUGUGCGGGAAGAUAAUGACGGUACCGCAAGAAUAAGCCCCGGCUAACUUCGUGCCAGCAGCCGCAGUAAG